AGAGUUUGAUCCUGGCUCAGAUUGAACGCUGGCGGCAGGCUUAACACAUGCAAGUCGAGCGGGCGAGGUUGCUUCGGUAACUGAGCUAGCGGCGGACGGGUGAGUAAUGCUUAGGAAUCUGCCUAUUAGUGGGGGACAACAUUCCGAAAGGGAUGCUAAUACCGCAUACGUCCUACGGGAGAAAGCAGGGGCUCUUUAUGACCUUGCGCUAAUAGAUGAGCCUAAGUCGGAUUAGCUAGUUGGUGGGGUAAAGGCCUACCAAGGCGACGAUCUGUAGCGGGUCUGAGAGGAUGAUCCGCCACACUGGGACUGAGACACGGCCCAGACUCCUACGGGAGGCAGCAGGUGGGGAAUAUUGGACAAGUGGGGGAACCCUGAUCCAGCCAUGCCGCGUGUGUGAAGAAGGCUUUUGGUUGUAAAGCACUUUAAGUGGGGAGGAGGCUUACCUGGUUAAUACCUGGGCUAAGUGGACGUUACCCACAGAAUAAGCACCGGCUAACUCUGUG
rnacentral:rRNA from 1 species